UGUAAGAUCAUUCCAUUCCAAUCAAAGCAAGGCAAUCAGCCUGAAGCAGUACUCCUCUUGGUGUGUGUGUAUGUGUCUUGUGUUGCACUAGUGAGUGCGUGUGUUACUAGUGAGUUGAGUGCAAGUACUACCGUUAGAUAGUCAGGACCCUCUGGUCUCAGUAGUUCCGGGCUAACAACGCGCCGGUGCCCAGGCGCCUUGCAUCCAUCUACAGCGAGGUGCAGACGAGCCGCAUCGCGCACACGCUGCCCCUCCCCUCCGUCCUCCGCUCCCACUUCACGCUCGCCGACGAGCCGGCCAGCACCGCCGCUAGAAGCCCCGACGAGAUAGCCAAGCUGUUCUCCAGCCUGCACGGCCGCUGUCCACGGCCGUGCUGCCGUCGGCCGAGCCCGUCGCGACGAAGCCGCUCAAGAUCGGCAUCGUGCUUCCUGGUGGCCAGGUUCCAGGGGGACAAUGAAUCGACUUCUUUGUGUAACAGAUUACCUGCAGGAGGGUGCCAAAGGCAGCACCAUGUAUGGAUUAAGGGAGGCCCGCUGGUGUCAUGAAGGGCAACUACGUCGAGCUGACUGCUGAUUUCGUGUACCCCUACGGAAACCAGGUAUGUCAGCAUAACCUUUACUAAGCACGCCUACUGAUAUUUCAAUGUUUCAUAUAAACUUUGGUUAUAACCAUUUGCAAAACUGGAAGUGGCUCAUCAGUAGAGAUUUCGUUGAGGUACUUCCAUGAAUUAACAGAUGAUUUUUUUUCUCUUGAAGUAUCCUUGUGUGUAAGAAAUUUCUGAUCAUAAGCAUGACAAAUAUAUGAUGGAUACAUACAGUUUUAUGGGUAACCUGAAUUACUAUUUCAUGCCCUGGACUGACAUUACAUGAAUGAUCAUGUAGUACAAUGAGAACUGGUAAAUUCAAGGACUUUGGUUAUAACCAUUUGCAAAACUGGAAGUGGCUCAUCAGUAGAGAUUCUGUUGAGUCGUCAGAGAUUCAGAAUUCUUGCUGUAUCAUGGGUGCACUAUCAGAGAUGGUGAAUGCUUUAGACGCUCUAAACUUUUUUUCCCCGGGGGAGGGGGCCUGAGAGGUAUAAAAUUCCAUCAGUGUGCUUUUUAAUUCAACCUGCACAAAAAUAUGGACCUCUUAUCUAGUAAAUAAACCUGUAAAAUUAUACAGUGCGGAGAGGUUCUGCAAGUUCCCUCAGUGAAGCCUUAUGUCCAAGAAUAAAUUACCUACGUUUGAGUGCGAGUAAUGUACAACAGUUUGUAAUUUUUCAUUUGUAUUUUUUCCUCGAACAAGAAUUGGUGGUUGGUAUUCAGUUAUUUUUUAUAUGCCGACAAUGUUUUUUCUGCAUAUCGAUUAACUGUCCGUUUACAUAAAGAAAGAAGUUUGUGAUUCUC